ACUCUUUCCUUUCCUUUCAGUAGAGUAAUGUUCCUUUUGGUUUUGUGUGGUAUGAUUUCAGAUAGUAGCUGCUUUUUCCUUAUUAAGAGGGCAGCAUGUUUGCUAUAGCUGAAUUCUGCUGUCUGAUUUUUUUUUUUUCCAGAAUGAUCUAGCUUCAAGAAAAGCAAGCAGUUAGUAGUGCUUAAGAAAAUUUGAUUCAGUAACUAAUGGAUAGUUGAUAUCUGUCACAGCACAGCAUUUUAUAUACUAUUAAGUGAAACUGCAAUACAACCUAAGUUUAUUUUGGGAGUGUUUGCUGUAUAAUUGGACUUGAUAAAAUGUUUAGAGGUGCAGUAGGCAUGACUUGAGUAGAUAAUGAGAGGAAAUGCAAGUGCUCAUCGACUCAUGAUGUGCGCCCUCCUUGCUUGGGCAGACCGUGCAGUAUUUAACACAUAGUAGCAGAAUAUUUACUGUUGAAGCUUGAAAAGAUGUGAGCUCUUUGUGUGCAAUUUUUCAUUUAUGCAUGUGAGAAGGUUUUUGGUUUUUGGUUAUUUUUAAGUAUUUUUACAUUGUAGUACUCGUUUUUGCUUGUUGGUGGUGUUUGCUUAUUUAAUACAUUCCGUCAGGGACAGAAAUUACAUGCUUUUUCUCUUAGGAAGUGUGUAUUGGGUUUUUCCCUCCCCCUCUCCCCUUGGUGGUGAUGGUGGUGAUGUUUAAAUGAAGUUGCUUUUACAGCACCAAAGACUUAAUCAUCCAUUUCUUAUAUAAAAGGUAGCUACUUUUUGCAUAGACCUCAAGUAUAUUGUAGUGUAGAGGUGGAAUUUAAGGAAAGGUAUUAAACCAAGGCUGUGUUUUAGCUUACAGGCAAGUAAUAAAUUGUAUCAUUUAUCUUGAAUGUAUCAUAGAUAAGCUGCUAUAUAACGAUUGCCACUUCAGAUAGCUGUGAAAUUAGGUGAUUAACUAGUUGUUAUUUAGCUUUCUAAUUUCUGUAUAAGUCUAAUUACACAAGAUAGAAGCUGGGGUUUUGAUUUUUUUUUACUUUGCUUUUCUGUUUGGAGUGUCAUUGUAACUACUGUAUUGUAAAUGAUGGAAACAGUUGCCUAUGUUAUUUUGGGGUGUGUUAUUGCAUCAGUAUUUUAUCUCUAUUAAUGUUUGUGCUCAUCACUGCAUAUAAAAACUUGGAUGUAUCAAUGUAACUUAAUUUUUUUAUUUUCAUACUGGCAUUGUAGACACGUGAGAAAGCUGUAUCUUGCAGGCUUGACUUAACUUUUUUUUCCUUCAAAGUCUGGAAUAUAAUCUUACAGCAUUUACUGGAAUAAACAGUACAAAACAUUUGAGUGUAAACCUCCAAAUGUUUUGGAUUGACACAUUUCCUUACUAAGCAGGUUGUGUACCACCAGUACAACUCUCGCACACGCUGGCGAUAAGCUAACUCUGAUACAUGUUUCUUUACUCCAUUGACACAGCAGUGUUUUAUUUAACAAUCAUCCAUGAAAUAAACGUGCCUGACGUUGAUUUUAAAUUACAGUAUUAGAUCAUACAGUGAAAACCAGCAGCACAUUUCUAGUCACUGCAAAUGAAGGACUUGAUUCCCCCACAGGUCUCAGUGUUUUUAGUAAUUGAUUCUAUGCAUUUUAUAUAAUAGAAAUAUAUAUAACACACAUUACAAAAUGGAGUAGACUGAGAUUAACUUGCAGACGUCAUGUCUGUGGAGUCACUAAGUAGCUGCUGCCCUCCAUGGCCUUCGCAUUUGAGCUAUAGGGUCUAACAGGCAUCUGCUCGUUUCUUGGAAACGAUUCAGUGCUGCCGACGGAUGUUUCAGAGACACCAAGUACACGGAUUGAUUGUGUCACGACAGGGAGGAAAGUGGCCCAGCAAGCUGUGCUUGCUGCCUAGGCGUGCUCUCUCUGUAUUAAGUUCAUGACUGAUCAGCCUUGUUAAAUUGACUGUGGCUGGUAGCAGCCAACAUGUUCAUACACAGUAAUGCUCUCUAAAGGCGUGUCACUGUUGCGUGCACUGCUCUUAAUUAACUGUAAUCAUGGGCUUUUUAAUAGGUUUCAAAAUUGAAGACUUCAAAAUUCCCCUGAAGUCUAAUUUUAGCAUCCUGGCAGAGGACCUGGAUUUUACCCCCUCUAAAACUAUUUUAAUAGUUUUGUUUUAUGUUUUCUUAAAUAAAACACUGCAUGAU
rnacentral:lncRNA from 1 species